rnacentral:misc_RNA from 1 species
UCAAAACAGCGGACUUCGGUCCUUGCUGCACCCUUGUCUUUUGCGCACCGUAUUGUUUCCUCGGCGGGCUUGCCUGCCGGUUGGACAUUAUCAAAACCUUUUUGUAGCUGCAAUCAGCGUCAGAAAAACAAUAAUUAUUA